rnacentral:rRNA from 1 species
CCUACGGGAGGCAGCAGUGAGGAAUAUUGGUCAAUGGCCGGAAGUCUGAACCAGCCAUGCCGCGUGAAGGUCAGUGCCCUAUGGGCGUUAAACUUCUUUUGUGCGGGAGCAAUAAUGGUCACGUGUGGCCAGACGAGAGUACCGUACGAAUAAGCAUCGGCUAACUCCGGUCCAGCAGCCGCGGUUAAACGGGGAGGGCAAGCGUUAUCCGGAUUUAUUGGGUUUAAAGGGUGCGUAGGCUGGGAGGUAAGUCGGCGGUGAAAUGCCCCCGCUCAACGGGGUGAAGUGCCAUGGAUACUGCCUGGCUGGAAUGCGGAUGAGGUGGGAGGAAUGUGUGGUGUAGCGGUGAAAUGCAUAGAUAUCACACAGAACACCGAUUGCGAAGGCAUCUCACGAAUCCGCGAUUGACGCUGAUGCACGAAAGCGUGGGUAUCAAACAGGAUUAGAUACCCCAGUAGUC